rnacentral:rRNA from 1 species
AGGGUGCAGGCGUUAAUCGGAAUUACUGGGCGUAAAGCGUGCGCAGGCGGUUUGCUAAGACAGGUGUGAAAUCCCCGGGCUUAACCUGGGAACUGCGCUUGUUACUGGCAGGCUUGAGUGUGGCAGAGGGGGGUGGAAUUCCACGUGUAGCAGUGAAAUGCGUAGAGAUGUGGAGGAACACCGAUGGCGAAGGCAGCCCCCUGGGCUAACACUGACGCUCAUGCACGAAAGCGUGGGGAGCAAACAGG